GAGCCGGUAGCUCAGUUGGUAGAGCAACUGACUUUUAAUCAGUAGGUCCUGGGUUCGACCCCCAGCCGGCUCA
rnacentral:tRNA from 1 species